UUUUUUUUUUUUUUUUAAAUGGUCACACCUGGGGCAUUUGGAAGUUCUUGGAUUUAGGGAUCGAAUCUGAGCUGCAACUGCACUGAGGAUCCUUUAACCCACUGCACCAGUCUGGGGAUUGAACCUGCCCCUCCAUAGUAACCUGAACCUGAACUGCUGCAGUGGGAUUUUUUUUUUUUUUUUUUUUGCUUUUUAGGGCCUCGGGUGCGACAUAUGGAAGUUCCCUGGCUAGGGGUUGAAUCUGAGCUACAGCUCUGCCAGCCUACUUCAUAGCCAUGUGGAAUCUGAUGCAGAUCCCACAGCACCAGAUCCUUAACCCACUGAUCAAGGCCAGGGAUUGAACCUGCAUCCUUAUGGAUACUAAUUGGGUUUGUAACCCUCAAAGCUGCAGCAGGAGCUCCCAGUGACAGAUAUUAUUAACUAAAUUCCAUACUUUUUUCAGAUUUCCUUAGCUUUUAUCUCUGGUAGAUUGGGAGCUCCUGCAGGGCAGAGACUGUGUGUGUUUCAUUUGCCUACUGUAAUAUAAACACUUAGGAGGUACUCUAAAUAAUUAUUGGCAGAAUAACAACUACCAGAAAGAUGCCUUAGAGUUUGUACUAACCUUCUCCCCAUUUUAAGUGAGUAACUUUCUCAGGGAGGUCAUGUGUAUCUUCUCUAAGUUCCAUGGCUAGUCGGAAAGAUCCAGGUCUCCAAGGUGGUACUAGAACCACAUCUUGUGCAUCUAGUUUGCUAAAUAUAGAGAUGAGUUUACUGUGAAACUAAUGAAGCUUAACUUUAGGAUUCUAAGGGCUUGGGAAGCGCCCUGGAAAUGAGUUUACAUAGUCAAUUAAAAAAAUUGUUUUAUUGGCAUUCAUUAUACAUACAGAAAAAGUACAAAAAUUAUAAGUGUGCAGUGUGUAGCUUAAAACUUUUCAUACACUUAACACACCUACAUAACCAAUGCCCAGAUCAAGAAACAUUUCCUGUACAUUGUCACAUGGUUAUGAAGGAUUUGCAAAUGUACAAUAUUUCAACCACAAUCAGUUAAGAUACCUAUUUCCCUUCUAUUAUACUUCUCAUGUUGGUGGCACUGGAAUGGCUGUAGGUAUUUUGGACAUCUGGCUGUGGAAAAACUGACUUGGGGAUACAUUUAGUUGGGUUUUAGGAGGAUAUGUUUAUAUGGCUCAUAGUCUCUUCAUGUACAGUCAAGGUAUUGCUAGCCAUCCCAGAAUGGGGAUGGUUUCUAGGAAUACUGCACAUUGUAUUAACUCAUUUGGCAUUGUGACAUAAACAUGCAGGGGUAGAGAUGAUAGAGCAUAGGAUUAUAUCUCAUGGCAUCUGGCACCUGAAGUAUGUGGUUAGUGUAGGAAAAACGAAGUUUGAUGCCAAAAGGCCAGUCUGUGAAAUAUUCUCCUGCAUCUUAAAGCUUCAUGUGAAAGAGACUUGUUAAUAGUUUUCCCAAGUUUGACCACAAUCCUAAAAGUUUACAUAACAUUACCAAUAAUGGCCCUGUGCUAAAAGAAACUUUUCUAAGUUUUACAACAACAAAAAUGUGUUCAACUAUGCUAGAGAAAGGACUGAGUUAUUUUUCCAUUAUCUCUAUAGAAGAUAACAUUAUAAAACUCAUGGGAAAAUAUGAUAUUGGUAUAAGGGGUGACAUACAGGUCAGUGGAUAGAAUCAAGAGUCCAGAAAUAAACUCAUACAUCUAUGUUCAGUUGAUUUUUUUUUUUUUUUUUUUUGUUAAGGGUGCCACGGCCAUUUAAUGAGCAAAGGUUAGUCUUUUCAGCAAAGGGUGUUGGAACAACUGGAUAUCCACAUGGUAAAGAAUGAAGUUGGGCUGUCAUUUCUCACACACUAUAAAAAAAUUAACUCAAAGUAGAUUAAAGAUCUAAAUGUAACAGCUAAAACUAUAAAAUCUUUCAUUUAUGUAACUAAUUAAUUUAUUUUGGGGGAGAACCCACAGCAUGUGGAAGUUCCUGGCGCAGGGAUUGAACCUGUACCAUGGCAGUGACCGUGUUUUCUAUAUAACUAUAUUGAAAGCAUGUGUUCACACAAAACCUUGUACACAAACAUUCAUAGUAGCGUUAUUCAUAAUAGCCAAAAUAGUUGGGUAGAAACAGCCCAACCAAAUGUUCAUUAACUGAUGAAUAAACAAAAUGUGCUAUAUCUGUACAAUGGAGUAGUAUUCACCUAUAGAAGGGAAUGAAGUACUAAUACAGGCUACAACAUGAAUGAACCUCAGAAACAUUAUGCUGAAUGAAAGAAGCUGUACGCAAAGGGUCAGAUAUCACGUAGUUCUAGUUGGAAAAUCUGUAAAGAUACAGAAUAUUUUGGUGGUUGCCAGGGGAAAGGGAGAAUUGGGAAAGACUUCCAGGUAUGGGGUUUGUUUCUAGAUGAUGAAAAUAUUCUGGAAUUAGAUAGUGGUGAUGGUUGUAUAGCAUUGUUGGAAUAUAUUAAAAACCGUUGAGUUGCACAAUUUAAAAUGGUCAAUUUUGUGUUAUGUUACAUCUAUCUCAAUAAAACAAAUUGCAAAAAAAAAAAAA
rnacentral:lncRNA from 1 species